GACGAACGCUGGCGGCGUGCUUAACACAUGCAAGUCGAACGAUGAACACCGGAGCUUGCUCUGGUGGGAUUAGUGGCGAACGGGUGAGUAACACGUGAGCAAUCUGCCCUUGACUCUGGGAUAAGCGUUGGAAACGACGUCUAAUACCGGAUACGACCUCUCUUGGCAUCAAGCGGAGGUGGAAAGAUUUAUCGGUCAAGGAUGAGCUCGCGGCCUAUCAGCUAGUUGGUGAGGUAAUGGCUCACCAAGGCGAUGACGGGUAGCCGGCCUGAGAGGGUGACCGGCCACACUGGGACUGAGACACGGCCCAGACUCCUACGGGAGGCAGCAGUGGGGAAUAUUGCACAAUGGGCGCAAGCCUGAUGCAGCAACGCCGCGUGAGGGACGAAGGCCUUCGGGUUGUAAACCUCUUUUAGCAGGGAAGAAGCGCAAGUGACGGUACCUGCAGAAAAAGCACCGGCUAACUACGUGCCAGCAGCCGCGGUAAUACGUAGGGUGCAAGCGUUGUCCGGAAUUAUUGGGCGUAAAGAGCUCGUAGGCGGUUUGUCGC
rnacentral:rRNA from 1 species